AUACACAUCUCCGAGCGGAGCGGCGGACGGGUGGGUAAUGCCUAGGAAUCUGCCUGGUAGUGGGGGAUAACUUCUGGAAACGGGCGCUAAUACCGCAUACUAUCAGAUGAGCCUACGUCGGAUUAGCUAGUUGGUGGGGUAAAGGCCUACCAAGGCGACGAUCCGUAACUGGGCUGAGAGGAUGAUCAGUCACACUGGAACUGAGACACGGUCCAGACUCCUACGGGAGGCAGCAGUGGGGAAUAUUGGACAAUGGGCGCAAGCCUGAUCCAGCCAUGCCGCGUGUGUGAAGAAGGUCUUCGGAUUGUAAAGCACUUUAAGUUGGGAGGCGUUACCAACAGAAUAAGCACCGGCUAACUUCGUGCCAGCAGCCGCGGUAAUUC
rnacentral:rRNA from 1 species